rnacentral:rRNA from 1 species
CGGAUCGUAAAGCUCUGUUGAUGGGGACGAACGUGCCUAAUGCGAAUAGUUUUAGGCAAUGACGGUACCCAUCGAGGAAGCCACGGCUAACUACGUGCCAGCAGCCGCGGUAAUACGUAGGUGGCGAGCGUUGUCCGGAAUCAUUGGGCGUAAAGGGAGCGCAGGCGGGCAUGUAAGUCUUUCUUAAAAGUGCGGGGCUCAACCCCGUGAUGGGAAAGAAACUAUAUGUCUUGAGUACAAGGAGAGGAAAGCGGAAUUCCCAGUGUAGCGGUGAAAUGCGUAGAUAUUGGGAGGAACACCAGUGGCGAAGGCGGCUUUCUGGACUGCAACUGACGCUGAGGCUCGAAAGCCAGGGGAGCGAACGGGAUUAAAUACCCCGGUAGUUCCUGGCCGUAAACGAUGGAUACUAGGUGUGGGAGGUAUCACCCCUACCGUGCCG